GGGGCUAUAGCGCAGUUGGUAGCGCAUCUCAAUGGCAUUGAGAGGGCCAGCGGUUCGAAUCCGCUUAGCUCCA
rnacentral:tRNA from 12 species